GAUGAAGAACGUAGCGAAAUGCGAUAAGUAGUGUGAAUUGCAGAAUUCAGUGAAUCAUCGAAUCUUUGAACGCACAUUGCGCCCGCCAGUAUUCUGGCGGGCAUGCCUGUUCGAGCGUCAUUUCAACCCUCAAGCACAGCUUGGUGUUGGGACUCGCGUUAAUUCGCGUUCCUCAAAUUGAUUGGCGGUCACGUCGAGCUUCCAUAGCGUAAUAGUAAAACCCUCGUUACUGGUAAUCGUCGCGGCCACGCCGUUAAACCCCAACUUCUGAAUGUUGACCUCGGAUCAGGUAGGGAUACCCGCUGAACUUAAGCAUAUCAAUAAGCGGAGGA
rnacentral:misc_RNA from 1 species